UACGUAGGGACCAAGCGUUGUCCGGAAUCAUUGGGCGUGAAGAGCGUGUAGGCGGCUUGUUAAGUCUUGCGUGAAAUCUCGGGGCUCAACCCCGAGCGGUCGUGAGAAACUGGCAGGCUAGAGUGCGGGAGAGGAGAGUGGAAUUCCUGGUGUAGCGGUGAAAUGCGCAGAUAUCAGGAAGAACACCCGUGGCGAAGGCGGCUCUCUGGAACGCAACUGACGCUGAGACGCGAAAGCGUGGGGAGCAAACAGG
rnacentral:rRNA from 1 species